rnacentral:rRNA from 1 species
GUGGGGAAUCUUAGACAAUGGGGGAAACCCUGAUCUAGCCAUGCCGCGUGAGCGAUGAAGGCCUUAGGGUUGUAAAGCUCUUUCAGCUGGGAAGAUAAUGACGGUACCAGCAGAAGAAGCCCCGGCUAACUCCGUGCCAGCAGCCGCGGUAAUACGGAGGGGGCUAGAGUUGUUCGGAAUUACUGGGCGUAAAGCGCACGUAGGCGGAUCAGAAAGUCAGAGGUGAAAUCCCAGGGCUCAACCUUGGAACUGCCUUUGAAACUCCUGGUCUUGAGGUCGAGAGAGGUGAGUGGAAGUCCGAGUGUAGAGGUGAAAUUCGUAGAUAUUCGGAGGAACACCAGUGGCGAAGGCGGCUCACUGGCUCGAUACUGACGCUGAGGUGCGAAAGCGUGGGGAGCAAACAGGAUUAGAAACCCUGGUAGUCC